rnacentral:misc_RNA from 1 species
CACAUCAUUUGACAGAAGACAACACUGUUCUCUGGGCCUGUUACAUCGACCUGAUAGAGAGACAUAAACGCGUGGAGAGCGCAUCAGUAUUUAGAUAUCCCCGUUAGUAGCUCCCCCGCCAUUAACCGGUAUGAAUUGCUAGAAUUGGGGCCCUAUACCACGGUUUCCCGUUGUAGAAUAUAAACGUGUAUAAACUAAUCCCCCCCUAGGAGGUACAACCGCCCACAAGGCUUAAAUCCUAAAAAAAAUAUUGCGGGGGCCCCCGCACCAAGGCGGCGGAAGCAUGGCGGUAUUAAUUUUGAGACAACGAAGAAGAACCUUUCCGUGGGCUCCACCUGUUUCCAGAAGAUCCCAAAAGAUGGGGUUUCCCCUUGGGGGCGGCUCCACCAGGUGCACCAUGGUCUUCUUCACUUGUUUGAGAGGAUGUGGGGUAAGCCCCGCAACAAGCGCACUCUUCCCCCCGUUGUUCCCGGCGGUUUCUGCGGGGUCUCCGGGGGGGCCCGCGGGGGUUUCUUCGGAGGAAGGUGGGGAGGACUUAUCAUCAUCAUCCCCAUGUCGUCCAGGUCUCCCACCAUGCUACAAUGGCUGGAACAAGGGGAGGCACCACGAGGAGCAGGGGAGAAUCCAUAAAACCUGUUAUCAGUUCGGACAGCAUUCAGCAAUUCGACGGGAUGAAGGAGUAGUCGUUAGUAUUGAAUAAUCACCAUCGUGGCGAGGAAGCUUUUCCGGGCCCUUCACCCCCCCCCCCUUCAAUUCAAAAAAGGGGGCACCCCCAGAAGCCGGCGCCUUACCCCCUGGGGGGGGGCACCCUUUAAAGAGGAGCUUGAUGAUGGGGAAUAAGUGGCAACAAGGUAGCCCUCCAGGAAGGGGCGGCUGCACCUCCUCUUUUCUACGAAGAAUACGGCCGGUUUUUCUUCCGGCGGGGGGUCCCCCGUCGCGGCGGCAGUGGCGGCGUUUGGGGGCUGGUGUGGAGGAGAUGAUCAGGGCUUUUCGGGUCUUCCGUGGGGGGUUCUUCGGGGGGAGUGGGGAGGAGCCGUUUUGGGCCUCCCGGAUCCCCCCCCCAGCCUUCGGCCUGGCGCGAUUCGAUGCCCAUCGUGCCUGAUGGCGGGCUGGUCCCGUCCGGACGGCGUGGUGGUGCGUGGUGGCUUGAGAACUGGAUAGUGGACGCGAGCAAGACGGGGUUUCCUUUGAUUCCUCGUUCUUGCUGUUGAUUUAGAAUCGAACUAUAUUUUUAGUGUUUGUUUCGAUCGUUUUGUGAUCAUUUUAGUGUGAUGAUUUGUCGUCUGGGAAUUUGCUAGGAAGGAUCCUUGCGGCCAUGCGCACCGUGUGGGACCA